UUUCCGUAGGUGAACCUGCGGAAGGAUCAUUACAGAGUUCAUGCCCUCACGGGUAGAUCUCCCACCCUUGAAUAUUUAUACCUUAGUUGCUUUGGCAGGCCGUGGAAACACCAUGGGCUCCGGCUUAUGCGUGCCUGCCAGAGGAAACAAACUCUGUUUUUAGUGAUGUCUGAGUACUACAUAAUAGUUAAAACUUUCAACAACGGAUCUCUUGGUUCUG
rnacentral:misc_RNA from 1 species